CCAUCUUUUAUUUCGUUAUAGUUAAUCUUUAAUUUUUGUUUAUUUAUUUUGGUUUAGUAUAUUAUUAGAAUUUUUUAUUUAAUUUUUUAUUAUAAGUAAUAAUGAUAUAAUUAGUAGUUUUGUAUAUUUAAGUAUAGUAAUUCGGCAAAUUUAGUUCUCGCCUGUUUAACAAAAACAUGUCCUUUAGAAUAUAAAUUUAAGGUCUGACCUGCCCAGUGAUGCAUUAAACGGCCGCAGU
rnacentral:rRNA from 1 species